rnacentral:rRNA from 1 species
GACGAACGCUGGCGGCGUGCUUAACACAUGCAAGUCGUACGGUAAGGCCCUUUCGGGGGUACCCGAGUGGCGUACGGGUGAGUAACACGUGAGUAACCUGCCCACAACUUUGGGAUAACGCUAGGAAACUGGUGCUAAUACUGGAUAUGUGCUCCUGCUGCAUGGUGGGGGUUGGAAAGCUCCGGCGGUUGUGGAUGGACUCGCGGCCGAUCCGCUUGUUGGUGGGGUAGUGGCCUACCAAGGCGGCGACGGGUAGCCGGACUGGGGGGGUGACCGGCAACAGUGGGACUGAGAUACGGCCCAGACUCCUACGGGAGGGAGAAGUGGGGGAUAUUGCACAAUGGGCGCGAGCGUGAUGCAGCAACGCCGCGGGCGGGAUGACGGCCUUCGGGUUGUAGACCGCAUUCAGCAGGGACGAAGCUGUUUGUGACGGUACCUGCAGAAGAAGCACCGGCUAACUACGUG